UCUUUUCACUAGGGGGGCCGCACGUGCGCGGCUGAGAUGGAAUGAAUCGAUUCCGGACUCUUUGUACCUGAUCUGGGUUAUACCAGCGUAGGGAAGUGGGGAACUGAUAUG
rnacentral:ncRNA from 2 species